CACUAAAUUUACUAUUUCCGAAAGAACUUUUCAGAAUUAUGUAAAAUAACACUUCUGAAAAAUACUUUUUGGAAUAAUAAAAUCAAUG
rnacentral:miRNA from 1 species